rnacentral:rRNA from 1 species
GAAUGCUGACAUAAGUAACGAUAAAGCGGGUGAAAAGCCCGCUCGCCGGAAGACCAAGGGUUCCUGUCCAACGUUAAUCGGGGCAGGGUGAGUCGACCCCUAAGGCGAGGCCGAAAGGCGUAGUCGAUGGGAAACAGGUUAAUAUUCCUGUACUUGGUGUUACUGCGAAGGGGGGACGGAGAAGGCUAUGUUAGCCGGGCGACGGUUGUCCCGGUUUAAGCAUGUAGGCUGGUUAUCCAGGCAAAUCCGGAUAAUCAAGGCUGAGGUGUGAUGACGAGGCACUACGGUGCUGAAGUAACAAAUGCCCUGCUUCCAGGAAAAGCCUCUAAGCAUCAGGUAACAUCAAAUCGUACCCCAAACCGACACAGGUGGUCAGGUAGAGAAUACCAAGGCGCUUGAGAGAACUCGGGUGAAGGAACUAGGCAAAAUGGUGCCGUAACUUCGGGAGAAGGCACGCUGGUGUGUAGGUGAAGCCCCUGCGGGUGGAGCUGAGACCAGUCGAAGAUACCAGCUGGCUGCAACUGUUUAUUAAAAACACAGCACUGUGCAAACACGAAAGUGGACGUAUACGGUGUGACGCCUGCCCGGUGCCGGAAGGUUAAUUGAUGGGGUUAUCCGUAAGGAGAAGCUCUUGAUCGAAGCCCCGGUAAACGGCGGCCGUAACUAUAACGGUCCUAAGGUAGCGAAAUUCCUUGUCGGGUAAGUUCCGACCUGCACGAAUGGCGUAAUGAUGGCCAGGCUGUCUCCACCCGAGACUCAGUGAAAUUGAACUCGCUGUGAAGAUGCAGUGUACCCGCGGCAAGACGGAAAGACCCCGUGAACCUUUACUAUAGCUUGACACUGAACAUUGAGCCUUGAUGUGUAGGAUAGGUGGGAGGCUUUGAAGCGUGGACGCCAGUCUGCGUGGAGCCAACCUUGAAAUACCACCCUUUAAUGUUUGAUGUUCUAACGUUGGCCCCUUAUCGGGGUUGCGGACAGUGUCUGGUGGGUAGUUUGACUGGGGCGGUCUCCUCCCAAAGCGUAACGGAGGAGCACGAAGGUUAGCUAAUCCUGGUCGGACAUCAGGAGGUUAGUGCAAUGGCAUAAGCUAGCUUGACUGCGAGCGUGACGGCGCGAGCAGGUGCGAAAGCAGGUCAUAGUGAUCCGGUGGUUCUGAAUGGAAGGGCCAUCGCUCAACGGAUAAAAGGUACUCCGGGGAUAACAGGCUGAUACCGCCCAAGAGUUCAUAUCGACGGCGGUGUUUGGCACCUCGAUGUCGGCUCAUCACAUCCUGGGGCUGAAGUAGGUCCCAAGGGUAUGGCUGUUCGCCAUUUAAAGUGGUACGCGAGCUGGGUUUAGAACGUCGUGAGACAGUUCGGUCCCUAUCUGCCGUGGGCGCUGGAGAAUUGAGGGGGGCUGCUCCUAGUACGAGAGGACCGGAGUGGACGCAUCACUGGUGUUCGGGUUGUCAUGCCAAUGGCACUGCCCGGUAGCUAAAUGCGGAAGAGAUAAGUGCUGAAAGCAUCUAAGCACGAAACUUGCCCCGAGAUGAGUUCUCCCUGAGACUUUAAGUCUCCUGAAGGAACGUUAAAGACGA